rnacentral:rRNA from 1 species
AUGGCGCAGCCGCAGCCGCAGCAGCGGGUCUACCAAGCUUGGAAAGGGAAUAAUAGGUUCUUCCUCGGAGGGAGACUGAUAUUCGGACCCGAUGCCAAGUCCCUGCUCGUCUCGGUUGCGCUCAUCGUGGUGCCGGUUCUCGUCUUCUGCGCCUUCAUCGCGCCGCACCUCCUCCACCGAUUCUCCGGCUACAACGCAGGAUACGCGAUUCCUGCGGUGGCAGUGGGGUUCAUGAUCUAUGUGCUUCUGUUGCUGCUGACCACCUCAGCUCAGGAUCCUGGUAUCGUGCCUCGUGCAUCGCAUCCACCGGAGGAAGAUUUUGCGUAUGGCAAUCCGUUAGCCGGGGAAACACCCGGCAGGCUGCAGUUUCCCCGUAUAAAGGAAGUGAUGGUUAAUGGGAUGCUUGUGAAAAUAAAGUAUUGCGACACCUGCAUGAUUUACCGGCCUCCGCGGUGUUCGCACUGUUCGAUAUGCAACAAUUGUGUGGAGCGAUUCGAUCAUCAUUGCCCCUGGGUUGGACAAUGCAUUGGUCAGCGCAAUUACCGAUACUUUUUCCUAUUUGUUUCGUCCUCGACUCUUCUUUGCAUUUAUGUCUUUGCCAUGUCGGCACUACACAUCAAGUUUCUCAUGGAAGGAGACUAUCCUACAGUAUGGAAGGCUUUCAAACAUUCUCCAGCUUGCUUGGUGCUUAUGAUAUAUUGUUUCAUUGCUCUCUGGUUUGUUGGCGGGCUCACUGGAUUUCAUUCAUAUCUCAUUAGCACUAACCAGACGACAUACGAGAAUUUUCGGUACAGAGCAGACAGCAGGCCCAACGUCUAUGACCGAGGAUGUCUGAAUAACUUCCUAGAAGUCCUGUGCAGCAAGGGGAAACCUUCUAAGCACAGGUUCCGAUCCUAUGUUCAAGAGGAGGUACGCGCUCCAGUAGUUAACUUUGGUAGGCAGAUGGAGGAGGAACCAGCUGGUGGCCCUCGCGCAAAGGUGGAAGAUGAUCUUGAGAUUGGCAGCGAUCUCCUGAAGAUCUCUCGGCGGCGCAACUACGAGGACGUUGACGUCGAAAUGGGGAACCAGGACGAUGGUGAGACGGAAGGCACGGGCGGCGCCAAACUGGCGGCGGGUUCGGGGUCGCAGAUUCCUGCGGUCGGGAGCGAGGUGCGGGUGCGGCACUCGAGCUGGGACCGGAGGAGUGGGAACUGGGACAUGUCGUCGGACGUGAUCGGAAGGAGCGCAUCGGAUGUGCUUGGAAGAAGUGCUUCCCUCACCGAGGCUGCGCCGCGGUCUCAAAGAGAAACUCACUAG